CCGAGCCCGGCCGGCCUGACAUGCGCAGUGCGCGGGGGCUGCGGCGGCCAGGCGGCGCCGAGCUCCCGGCUACACUUGGCGGCGGGGGACCCGGAGUCUUCAGCCUGGUGCCUGGAGGGCCGCCGGGCCCCCGAGAGGCCCGGGUGAAGGGGUCAGCACUCGGCCCCGGCCGUGCAGGCUUCUGUACGAAAGGCCCGGGGUUCGGGAGCCGCUGAGGAGGACAGUCCAGAGCCUGCUCGGUCGCCGCGGGGCCAAGACGUCAUUGAAAACCCUGUGCAGAAAUGUGGGGCUUUGCUUUGAGCGAAGCAGUGUCGGAGUGGGAAACCUGGUGGCCCAGGCCCACCUCGACUGAGCGGGGAAAGAGAUCUUGUAGGUGUUUCUUACGUAAGAUUCUGAUUUUCCUUUAAACGGCAAGAUCAGGGCUGCCAAACUAGGAACAACUUGGCUAAUUUUUCGGGAGAUGCUGGGAAUGACGCCUUCUGCAUGUUGAACAUGGCCCACAGUUCCUACACUUGACUUUUCACUCAGCUCUACCGGUGCUGACUGUGUGCUGCUGGAACGGUAUUUCCAGGUUAAACGCAAAAUGCAGCCUGAACUCUUCCCGGGCCUCAACGUCUGCAAAGGUGAAAGGGCAGCGGGCUCUCGAGGGAGGAGGCGGGCCUAGCCGUGGGCUGCGCAGCAGCUUCUGUGAACACUGGCCGUGGAGCCCGGGUGACCUUUGCCUUCCCAUAGCUGGGAUGGCCCACGUCAGGCUGUUGACUGAGCAGAGGGCAGCUGGGCCGCAAGCCUGUGUGGGCCUCCUAGUAGUGAAGGUUUCAGGGAGGGUUGUACAUCACCCUCGUUCCUAAAACCCAAGGAAGGCCCGCGGGGCAGUGCUCCUCAUGGACAUCAAAGCUCCUGCAGAAGACAGCUGACACCUCUUUGCUCUCUGGAUGUGGGUGAGAUCAGCCUAGAAGCCUAGCCGAGGUUCUGGGAAGCGAUGAGGUCUUGAGGGUUCAUGACGAUGCGUGCCCACUGUAGCUGGGAGGGGCUGUGGGGUCUUCCUGGCCCAGGCGUGUGACCUGUGCCUGCUGGUGGGAGAGCUUGGCGUUUUGGGGGAGGAAGGGGUCAGGCUGCCCCUUCCUGUCCUUAAUUAAAGGGCCCUGAAGACUGGGUGAGGAGCCAGGUUUCCCCUGUUGAGGAGACGCAAGCCGCUCCCCGCUACCCCUGGUUAAGGACUCGCUGAGCCCAGCCCAUCGGGAGCCGAUGGCCUCUCUGGAAGCGGAGUUGCCCCCAGACUUGGAGUAGACGGUGGGGCCUCCUGUCAGCCCUGCCUUGGAGGGCUGGAAGUCUUCCUGAUGCCCUGUGUUCCGUGCUCCCAGGCCCCUCUGCCGUGUGUUCUGAGGUCUCAUCGGAGACCUCUAACCUCGGGGACCAUGUGGGACUGCACACUGCGCCCCUGUCCCCCCAGCCUGCAGGGCGCCCACGGUCCACCUGAGCCGGGCGCUCCUCACCCCAGCCCCCUGGAGCCGUCCCCCCACAGGCCUGCGUCAGCUCUGUUGUGUCCCCUGAGGCACCAGGCACAGGCCUGUCCACACAGCGCCCUGGAGGGGAGGUGCUGGGUGCACCAGGUUCCCCGUGUCCAGACCCUGGGCCUCGUGGGCUGCUGCUGGCCACCUCUGUGCCUGCUAGCAGGCGUGGCGCUCACUGCCCCCACUGGCUGACCGCUGGGGGGAGGGGGGCAUGUUUGUCUUUUCGCUGCACUUGGCUCUCUGGUGACCACAAGUCCCCGAGGGCUCCCCCAUCCCCCACGGCUCCUCCCCAGUGCGGGUGUCCUGCCUCCCAGCCCUCCCUGAAAACUCUAGCCUGGCUUUGCUCCCUUGUCCAUUCAAGGGCAGGAACAGAUGGACGGCCUUUGAAAAGGUAGAGGGAGUGAAGUAGCAUUUGCAGCAUCUCAGGACUUGCUGUUUCUGGGAAUCUAAUCUGAUCUUCAUAAACAGGGUUCCAGUCUGAGGGUGUUCGCACCAGGCCUCCUGGACACAGGUGAGGGCUCACAGUCUGCCCUGGCUGGGACACCACCACCGUGCCUCUCCUGGCCAGAGGAAGCCAGAAGCUGGUCCCAGCACAGCCUUGGCAGGUCCCCCCCACCCCGGUCAUACAGGCUGAAGCUCUGGGGGCCUUGGAAGGACUUGUCCGGCUGGUCACCGUCUCCCUGGCUUCAGCACCCUGAUCUGUGUAUCCUGUGUCUUCUGGCUUUUCCCGUGCACAUAGACAUAAACGUUUGUUUUAAUUAUUGGGUCACAGGAGAAGCAGGGUGAAAGUUAAGUCUGGUCCUUGGUGCCCCCAGCCUGCUGAGUGCCUCCAGGCUCAGCCUUGGUUCCAAAGCUGGUCUCUGAGAAGGGCCAGUGUCUCCCACCCAGGUGGAGGGCAGGUCCUGCUUGCAGCCAAGGCCGCAGGGUUUGAAGAGAUUACUGUGAAAGACCCUCCCCAGAGCCCUGGCUUGUCUGGGAGGGCCGUCAGCCCAUGGCUAUGGUGAGACUCCCCCUACAACCCCUGAAACCCUCUCCUCUUCCUCUGUGACUGAGGAGCUAGUCUCAAGUGGGGGGGGGGGGGGUGGUGUGUGUGUGUGUGAAGAGGAUCUGAUAUGUUUGUCUUACUGUCCAAGCCCCGCGAAGAAGGGACUGGAAGGGUGGAGGUGGGCUUGGGAAAGGGACGCCCUUCCUGGGGAGAGCCCGGGGCCCUACGUGGUGUCAGAGCCAGAGACAGGCUGGGCCUGGUGGAGUCCAAGUGCGGGCUCCGUCUCACCAGUUCGGGGGCUGACUGGGUUUUAGCCCCUCUUCCACUGUGCGUGUUGCCAGUGGAUGAGAGUGGCCCCGGGGGUCAGGGGGUGCAGGGACAUCUCACUGUCCCCUCGUGUUUCUGCGCCCGGUGGGUUGAUGACUCGAGGCUGUGUGCUGUGAUCUGGUCUCCUGGUUCGCUCAUCUGAAGGCUCUGCAGCAUCCGGAUGGAGGGCCCAGCUCCGAGGGCCGCCUAGCAGGGGCAGCCGCUGUCCCUGUCCUCCAGGAGCUCACUUGGUCCGGCCGUGCGCUCCUCGAGGCCAGAGCCCGCGUCUGCUUCCCGCCAGCACCAGCGCCUCUGCAGGGCCAGGACCCACAGCAGCCCUGCGUCCCCCCCGCUCACGAGGUUGCUCACAGCCCCCUGCGACCGGUGCAUCCUUAAGUUGUUUGGAAUUGUUUCAACCAGGGCGCUGCAAACAAAAGGGCGAGCAGCUCUGUUUCUGAAUCGGCAAAAGUCACUCAGCAUCAUGCAUUGGAAUGAGCCCUUAAAGAACCUAACGGUUUGUACCUGCAUUUUGUAUUUUUAGGGGUAACUUAAAUCUCACUGUCUCCUCUGUUUCUGCUGUAAGUGUGUAGGGAGGCUGGGUGGAGGGCUCAUGGAAUCUGUAUGUUGCCUCCCAGGUUGCAUCUAGUUAAUUUCAAAAUGCAAAGUUUUAUUAAAGUAUCUAGGAAACAUU